rnacentral:lncRNA from 1 species
AGAUAGUGACACAUGUUCCCAAUAUCUUAGAAAUGCUAGUAAGGCGAUUAGCAAUUGGGUUGCCCUUCGAGUUGAAUUAAGUUUUAUUAAAAUAGGACGCUAGACGAAUUACUGUGUAGCAUCCAAUCAGGACUGUCUUAUUAAUUAAGGUUAAGCAUUAGUACCGCCAAACUAGACUGGGUUAAAGUGUUUUAUAAUUUUGGCGUUAGUCCAAGCUAUAGAAAGAAAACGGCC